rnacentral:rRNA from 1 species
CGACCUCUGAUCGGGAAAGAUCACCCGCUGAGUUUAAGCAUAUCACUAAGCGGAGGAAAAGAAACUAACGAGGAUUUCCCUAGUAACGGCGAGCGAACCGGAAAGAGCCCAGCUUGAAAAUCUC